GACGAACGCUGGCGGCGUGCUUAACACAUGCAAGUCGAACGGAAAGGCCCUGCUUUUUUGUGUUGUUCGAGUGGCGCACGGGAGAGUAACACGUGUGUCAUCUGCCUUUCACUUUGAUAUACCUUCAGGAAACCGUGUCUUAUACCGGAUAGUCGCUCCCGCUGCAUUGUGGUGGUUGGAAAGUUUCGGCGGUUGGGGAUGGAUCCGCGGCUUAUCAGCUUGUUGGUGGGGUAGUGGCUUACCAAGGCGUUGACGGGUAGCCGGCCUGAGAGGUUGACCGGCCACACUGGGACUGAGAUACGGCCCAGACUCCUACGGGAGGCAGCAGUGGGGAAUAUUGCACAAUGGGCGGAAGCCUGAUGCAGCAACGCCGCGUGCGGGAUGACGGCCUUCGGGUUGUAAACCGCUUUCACCUGUGACGAAGCGUGAGUGACGGUAAUGGGUAAAGAAGCACCGGCUAACUACGUG
rnacentral:rRNA from 1 species